rnacentral:rRNA from 1 species
UCUCGGCGUAAAGGGUGGUUAAAAUAACAACUUAUUAAAGUCAAACUCCUCCCUAACUGUUGUACGUAUUUGGAGGAAAGAGGUCCUACUACGAAAGUGACUUUAAACAAUUGAACCCACGAAAGCUAUGGCACAAACUGGGAUUAGAUACCCCACUAUGCUUAGCCCUAAACUUUUAUACCUUAUUCACAAAAAGUAUACGCCAGGGUAUUACGAGCAUAAGCUUAAAACCCAAAGGACUUGGCGGUGCUUAAUAACCCCCUAGAGGAGCCUGUUCUAGAACCGAUACCCCUCGUUAAACCUCACCCUUUCUUGCCCAACCCGUCUAUAUACCGCCGUCGUCAGCUUACCCUGUGAAGGUCAGAACAGUAGCAAAACUAGUA